GAUGAACGCUGGCGGCGUGCCUAAUACAUGCAAGUCGAGCGAACAGAUGAGGAGCUUGCUCCUCUGACGUUAGCGGCGGACGGGUGAGUAACACGUGGAUAACCUACCUAUAAGACUGGGAUAACUUCGGGAAACCGGAGCUAAUACCGGAUAAUAUAUUGAACCGCAUGGUUCAAUAGUUAAAGACGGUUUUGCUGUCACUUAUAGAUGGAUCCGCGCCGCAUUAGCUAGUUGGUAAGGUAACGGCUUACCAAGGCAACGAUGCGUAGCCGACCUGAGAGGGUGAACGGCCACACUGGAACUGAGACACGGUACAGACUCCGACGGGAGGCAGAAGUAGGGAAUCUUCCGCAAUGGGCGAAAGCCUGACGGAGCAACGCCGCGUGAGUGAUGAAGGUCUUCGGAUCGUAAAACUCUGUUAUUAGGGAAGAACAAAUGUGUAAGUAACGAUGCACGUCUUGACGGUACCUAAUCAGAAAGCCACGGCUAACUACGUG
rnacentral:rRNA from 1 species